GGCUGUCACUUACAGAUGGACCCGCGGCGCAUUAGCUAGUUGGUGGGGUAAUGGCUCACCAAGGCGACGAUGCGUAGCCGACCUGAGAGGGUGAUCGGCCACACUGGGACUGAGACACGGCCCAGACUCCUACGGGAGGCAGCAGUAGGGAAUCUUCCGCAAUGGACGAAAGUCUGACGGAGCAACGCCGCGUGAGUGA
rnacentral:rRNA from 1 species